AUGCAAGUCUACUUGAUGUAACUUCGGUUAUGGAUGGUGGCGGACGGGUGAGUAACGCGUAAAUAACUUGCCCCCUAGUCUGGGACAACUGUUGGAAACGACAGCUAAUACUAGAUAUUAUGAGACCUUGGCAUCAAGGACUUAUGAAAGCUAUAUGCGCUAGGGGAGAGAUUUGCGUCCUAUUAGCUAGUUGGUGAGGUAAUGGCUCACCAAGGCGACGAUAGGUAGCCGGCCUGAGAGGGUGAACGGCCACAAGGGGACUGAGACACGGCCCUUACUCCUACGGGAGGCAGCAGUGGGGAAUAUUGGACAAUGGACCAAAAGUCUGAUCCAGCAAUUCUGUGUGCUUGAUGAAGGCCUUCGGGUUGUAAAGAGCUUUAAGUAGGGAAGAAGAUAGUGACGGUACCUACAGAAUAAGCGACGGCUAAAUACGUGCCAGCAGCCGCGGUAAUACGUAUGUCGCAAG
rnacentral:rRNA from 1 species